GAUUUGGGGUGAGGAUGGAGGUUGGGGUUGGUGAAUAGCAAUAACAGAGCUCUCUGGUCCUUAUUACUCCCUUGACCUGGCAGAGACCACAUUAGCCCUGCUUUUGUCGUAAGUGGGUGACUAAAAACUAAUAUAUCUUUUUAAAAUCAUGCUUUAUAUUCCUAGUUAAAUUACUUACUUUUCUUCACAUCUUUGUUUCAAAAUGGAAAGUAUAAAAGAUGUUAGGUUAUUUAUUUCAUGGCUUUUCCUAUCUUCUUGACCCGAUGCCUUAUACCCCAGGUGAUGGAAUAUAGUAUGAGUAUUUAUUUGUUUGAGGAGUACAAAUUAGAAUGACAUGUUGUACUACUCUGGUUUCUUUAAAGUUGUAGUGGUUAGUAGGGAGUUUUUUUCAACAGGAAAUA
rnacentral:lncRNA from 1 species